rnacentral:rRNA from 1 species
AACGAACGCUGGCGGCAUGCCUAACACAUGCAAGUCGAACGAGACCUUCGGGUCUAGUGGCGCACGGGUGCGUAACGCGUGGGAACCUGCCCUUAGGUUCGGAAUAACUCCCCGAAAGGGGUGCUAAUACCGGAUAAUGUCUUCGGACCAAAGAUUUAUCGCCUUUGGAUGGGCCCGCGUUGGAUUAGCUAGUUGGUAGGGUAAAAGCCUACCAAGGCGACGAUCCAUAGCUGGUCUGAGAGGAUGAUCAGCCACACUGGGACUGAGACACGGCCCAGACUCCUACGGGAGGCAGCAGUGGGGAAUAUUGGACAAUGGGCGAAAGCCUGAUCCAGCAAUGCCGCGUGAGUGAUGAAGGCCUGAGGGUUGUAGCUCUUUUACCCGGGAUGAUAAUGACAGUACCGGGAGAAUAAGCUCCGGCUAACUCCGUG